GAACUCUCAAAGUCCCCUUCCUUUGAUAGGUUGGAGUGCUUUGGAUCGUGGGCGCUUGUGAGCCUGGCUUGCUCGCCUGAAAUCAAAUGUGGUGGUUUUCUCUAAAGCCUGUGUCGGGUUUGACCUGGAGUGAUAGAAGUCUUUCGAGAUCUCUGGGGACUGCCUUUUUGGCGACCUGCCGAGGUGGGAGAGAUUGCCUACUAAGGCUCAUCUGACGU
rnacentral:misc_RNA from 1 species